rfam:Salmo salar isolate Sally breed double haploid chromosome ssa02, whole genome shotgun sequence.
AGGUUUGCUGUUGGAUGCGUUUGAUGGUGGAACCCUUGGGCCCCACCACCAGCCCCACCACGCGGUAGGGCAC